GCCUACGUGGUGAAAUUGGUAUACACGCUACCUUGAGGGGGUAGUUCUCUUUAUGAGAGUGCUGGUUCGAGUCCAGUCGUAGGCACAA
rnacentral:tRNA from 1 species